UACCGGAUAUGACUCCUCAUCGCAUGGUGGGGGGUGGAAAGCUUUAUUGUGGUUUUGGAUGGACUCGCGGCCUAUCAGCUUGUUGGUGAGGUAAUGGCUCACCAAGGCGACGACGGGUAGCCGGCCUGAGAGGGUGACCGGCCACACUGGGACUGAGACACGGCCCAGACUCCUACGGGAGGCAGCAGUGGGGAAUAUUGCACAAUGGGCGCAAGCUGAAUGCAGCGACGCCGCGUGAGGGAUGACGGCCUUCGGGUUGUAAACCUCUUUCAGUAGGGAAGAAGCGAAAGUGACGGUACCUGCAGAAGAAGCGCCGGCUAACUACGUGCCAACCGCC
rnacentral:rRNA from 1 species